UACGUAGGGGGCAAGCGUUAUCCGGAUUUACUGGGUGUAAAGGGAGCGUAGACGGCUUUGCAAGCCAGAUGUGAAAGCCCGGGGCUCAACCCCGGGACUGCAUUUGGAACUGUGUGGCUAGAGUGUCGGAGAGGCAGGCGGAAUUCCUAGUGUAGCGGUGAAAUGCGUAGAUAUUAGGAGGAACACCAGUGGCGAAGGCGGUCUGCUGGACAGCAACUGACGCUGAGGCGCGAAAGCGUGGGGAGCAAACAGG
rnacentral:rRNA from 1 species